GACGAACGCUGGCGGCGUGCCUAAUACAUGCAAGUAGAACGCUGAAGGAGGAGCUUGCUCUUCUGGAUGAGUUGCGAACGGGUGAGUAACGCGUAGGUAACCUGCCUGGUAGCGGGGGAUAACUAUUGGAAACGAUAGCUAAUACCGCAUAAGAGUAGAUGUUGCAUGACAUUUACUUAAAAGGUGCAAUUGCAUCACUACCAGAUGGACCUGCGUUGUAUUAGCUAGUUGGUGGGGUAACGGCUUACCAAGGCGACGAUACAUAGCCGACCUGAGAGGGUGAGCGGCCCCACUGGGACUGAGACACGGCCCAGACUCCUACGGGAGGCAGCAGUAGGGAAUCUUCGGCAAUGGACGGAAGGCUGACCGAGCAACGCCGCGUGAGUGAAGAAGGGUUUCGGAUCGGAAAGCUCUGUUGUAAGAGAAGAACGAGUGUGAGAGUGGAAAGUUCACACUGUGACGGUAUCUUACCAGAAAGGGACGGCUAACUACGUG
rnacentral:rRNA from 1 species